rnacentral:lncRNA from 1 species
AAGUCAUGUACAUGACCGUUCUGUAGCAAUAAAUGUGCCAUUUUUAUAAACUGUUUCUGAUACUUGUUUCAUUUCAUUUUGCAUUGUCCAUAGAGCUCUGAUUCUCUGCUGUAAGCAAAACUGCAGCUAGAUUUCAUUUUCCAAGUGUUGGAGGUACUGACAGCUUAACAAAUAAAACAUACCAAAAAAAAAAAAAAAAAUCAUAAAAACAAAUUGAAAAGCAAAGCACAUGAUUGACCAAGGAAGAGAUGCCCUUAAUGAAAGUGGAACCAGAUGCAUGCAAAACAAAAAGAAAACUGUCUAGAGGAUUAACUAAUUGAAGGAAUUAAUUAACAUACGUGUUAUCACGGAAGCUGUGCAUGUGAAGAGCUUUGAACUGCGCCAUUGCUGCCAGUGUUUUUGGGUGGGCUGCAGCUUAAGUCAAGUCAGCCUUAAACUUUUGGAUCAGUUGGUCAACUGUUUGCCAGAACCUCCUCAGCUAGAUCUUUUCAGUCAAAAUUCUAAAAUGAUUUCUUUUGUAUCACUUUGUGAAGAAUUGACUAUUGUUAACCACAAUUAAUAUCCCACUGUAUUGAUACUUUCUCAAACUUUACCCACCCCACUACUUC